GGAUUGUGGCUCAGUGGUAGAGUGCUUGCCUGGCACGUGCGAGGCCCUGAGUUCUAUCCUCAGCACCA
rnacentral:tRNA from 1 species